rnacentral:rRNA from 1 species
UACGAAGGGGGCUAGCGUUGCUCGGAUUGACUGGGCGUAAAGCGCACGUAGGCGGAUGUGCCAGUCAGGGGUGGAAAUCCCGGAGCUCAACUUCGGAACUGCCUCUGAUACAGCACGUCUUGAGUCCGGAAGAGGUGGGUGGAAUUCCUAGUGUAGAGGUGAAAUUCGUAGAUAUCAGGAAGAACACCCGUGGCUAAGGCGGCUCUCUAGUACGGUACUGACGCUGAGACGCGAAAGCGUGGGAGCGAACAGG